UACGAAGGGGGCUAGCGUUGCUCGGAAUGACUGGGCGUAAAGGGCGCGUAGGCGGUUUGUACAGUCAGAGUGUAGCGAAAUUCCUGGGCUCAACCUGGGGCUGCAUUUGAUACGUGCGGACUUGAGUGAGGAAGAGGGUCGUGGAAUUCCCAGUGUAGAGGUGAAAUUCGUAGAUAUUGGGAAGAACACCGGUGGCGAAGGCGGCGAACCUGGUCCUUGACUGACGCUGAGGAGCGAAA
rnacentral:rRNA from 1 species